rnacentral:rRNA from 1 species
UACGGGGGGGGCAAGCGUUGUUCGGAAUUACUGGGCGUAAAGGGCUUGUAGGCGGCCAACUAAGUCAGACGUGAAAUCCCUCGGCUUAACCGGGGAACUGCGUCUGAUACUGGAUGGCUUGAGUUCGGGAGAGGGAUGUGGAAUUCCAGGUGUAGCGGUGAAAUGCGUAGAUAUCUGGAGGAACACCGGUGGCGAAGGCGGCAUCCUGGACCGACACUGACGCUGAAAAGCGAAAGCCAGGGGAGCAAACGGG